UAUUAUAUAAAAUUACAGAAAAUGCUCUCAACAAUGUGCUUGAAAGAGCUCUAGUAUGAGUUAUAUAUUAAUGUUUUUUAUGUUACCCUUCAUUCUGAAGAAAGAAGAUGACCAGGUGCCAACCAGGAAGAGAGCCCUCCCCAGCAGACACUGACUCUGCUGGCACCUUGAUUUUGGAUUUCCCAGCCUCCAGAACUGUGAGAAACAUCACCCUCCAAAGAACUGCUUGCUCUCCUAAUACCACCUUAGUGUCUGCUUACUCAAGGACCUGAAGUGGUGCAGUAAGGCACCAGCACUGAAGAUUGGGGACUGGAUCAUUCACCAUUUGUCUGGCAAUGGCAGCCCUGCCCCAGGUGACUACAGAACUCAGGUUCAGAAAGAAUCCAUGCUGGGUUAGAAAGCUAGUGUCUGUGAGGGUGCUUCUAGAAGAGAAUUGCAUUUGAUUAUUGGCAGAGUAAAGCAGAUGCCUUCCCCAGUGUGGGUAAACCUCAUCCAACCCAUUGAGAACUGAAGAGAACAACAUUGUGGAGAAAGGGAGGAUUCCCUCUCUGUCUACCUGACUGGUUGAACUGGAGUAUCCAGCCCUGGCUACUCCUGGUUCUACAGAGAUUUCUUCUUCCUGGAAAGAAAUGUCAAUCUGCAUAUUAAAGACUUAAAAAAACUC